UGUUAAGUUAGUGGCGACGGGUGAGUAACGCGUGGGUAACCUGCCGUAUACCGGGGGAUAACACCUGGAAACAGGUGCUAAUACCGCAUAAGCGCACGGGACCGCAUGGUCCAGUGUGAAAAACCGAGGUGGUAUGCGAUGGACCCGCGUCUGAUUAGCCAGUUGGCAGGGUAACGGCCUACCAAAGCGACGAUCAGUAGCCGGCCUGAGAGGGUGGACGGCCACAUUGGGACUGAGACACGGCCCAAACUCCUACGGAAGGCAGCAG
rnacentral:rRNA from 1 species